rnacentral:rRNA from 1 species
CCUACGGGAGACAGCAGUGAGGAAUAUUGGUCAAUGGGCGGAAGCCUGAACCAGCCAAGUAGCGUGCGGGAUGAAGGCCCUACGGGUCGUAAACCGCUUUUGCACGGGGAUAACACCCUCCACUUGUGCAGGUCUGCAUGUACCUUGCGAAUAAGGGCCGGCUAAUUCCGUGCCAGCAGCCGCGGUAAUACGGAAGGCCCGAGCGUUAUCCGGAUUCAUUGGGCUUAAAGGGAGCGUAGGCGGGCGUUCAAGUCAGCUGUAAAAUCUCGCGGCUCAACCGCGCCCCGCAGUUGAAACUGGAAGCCUUGAGUACACAACAGGCAGGCGGAAUUCGUGGUGUAGCGGUGAAAUGCAUAGAUAUCACGAGGAACCCCGAUUGCGAAGGCAGCCUGCCGGGGUGCGACUGACGCUGAGGCUCGAAGGUGCGGGUAUCAAACAGGAUUAGAUACCCGGGUAGUC